rnacentral:lncRNA from 1 species
UCUAAGUUCAAUGAAGUUGACAAUGCUAAAUCUCGUCUCUAAAAGCUCUGUCCCAAUAUUUCUUCCCACGCUCGAAAUUAAUUGUCUGAAUCUGAAAAAUAGAAAGAAAGGUAAUGAGCUAGACAGCCCAGUAAGUAACAAAUAUCUCAACCAGAUAUUUCAGAUAUUAUAUAAUUUUUAAGAAUAAUGCUGCAAUUAAACAUAAAAAUAUAUUUCAUGCUGAUUUAAUAGCAAAUCCAAUAAUUUCAAAUAUUCACAUAUAAUAUAAUCAUAAAUCUGAUUCGAUUCAAAACACUCGUAACUCAAC